ACGAACGUUGGCGGCGUGCUUAAUACAUGCAAGUCGAGCGAGAAACGGGGGGCAACUCCCGGAGUAAAGCGGCGAAAGGGUGCGUAAUACAUGAAGAACGUACCCCCUGGACCGGGAUAACUCAGGGAAACUUGGGCUAAUACCGGGUAACAUCCCGUUGGGGCAUCUUGAUGGGACCAGAGGUGGGCGAAAGCCUUCCGCCGGGGGAGCGCUUCAUGGCCUAUCAGCUAGUUGGUGGGGUAACGGCCCACCAAGGCUAUGACGGGUAGCCGGACUCAGAGGUCGACCGGCCACAUGGGCACUGAGACACGGGCCCAACACCUACGGGUGGCAGCAGUAGGGAAUCUUGCGCAAUGGGCGAAAGCCUGACGCAGCGACGCCACGUGGGGGAUGAAGGCCUUCGGGUUGUAAACCCCUUUCAUGAGGGAAGAACACUGACUUAACCUCAGGAAGAAGCACCGGCUAACUCCGU
rnacentral:rRNA from 1 species